ACCGGGCGCGGUGACACUUGCCUGUAGUCCUAGCUACUCAGGAGGCUAAGGCAGGAGGAUCGCUUGAGCCCAGGAGUUCUGGGCUCUAGUGCACUAUGCCUAUAAGGUGUCCGCGCUAAGUUCGACAUCAAUAUGGUGACCUCCCGGGAGAGGGGGACCACCAGGUUGCCUAAGGAGGGGUGAACCGGCCCAGGUUGGAAAUGGAGCAGGUCAAAAACAUUAAAAGAGGAAAGAGGAAAAGUUAAGAAAAAUUAGAAUAAAAAAUAUAAUUUAAAAAAAUUAAUUAACUUUGC
rnacentral:SRP_RNA from 1 species